rnacentral:rRNA from 1 species
ACGAACGCUGGCGGCGUGCUUAACCCAUGCAAGUCGAACGGAAAGGCCCUGCUUUUGUGGGGUGCUCGAGUGGCGAACGGGUGAGUAACACGUGAGUAACCUGCCCUUGACUUUGGGAUAACUUCAGGAAACUGGGGCUAAUACCGGAUAGGAGCUCCUGCUGCAUGGUGGGGGUUGGAAAGUUUCGGCGGUUGGGGAUGGACUCGCGGCUUAUCAGCUUGUUGGUGGGGUAGUGGCUUACCAAGGCUUUGACGGGUAGCCGGCCUGAGAGGGUGACCGGCCACAUUGGGAAUGAGAUACGGCCCAGACUCCUAAGGGAGGCAGCAGUGGGGAAUAUUGCACAAUGGGCGGAAGCCUGAUGCAGCAACGCCGCGUGCGGGAUGACGGACUUCGGGUUGUAAACCGCUUUCGCCUGUGACGAAGCGUGAGUGACGGUAAUGGGUAAAGAAGCACCGGCUAACUACGUG